UGCAAGUCUGGUGCCAGCAGCCGCGGUAAUUCCAGCUCCAAUAGCGUAUAUUAAAGUUGUUGCAGUUAAAAAGCUCGUAGUUGAACUUCAGGUCUGGUGGGCCGGUCCGCCUCACGGUGUGUACUGGUCGACUGGACCUUACCUCUUGGUGAGCCGUCAUGCCGUUUAUUCGGUGUGGCGGGGAACCAGGACUUUUACUUUGAAAAAAUUAGAGUGUUCAAAGCAGGCCUAUGCCCGAAUACAUUAGCAUGGAAUAAUAGAAUAGGACGUGCGGUUCUAUUUUGUUGGUUUCUAGGAUCGCCGUAAUGAUUAAUAGGGAUAGUUGGGGGCAUUAGUAUUCAGUCGCUAGAGGUGAAAUUCUUGGAUUGACUGAAGACUAACUACUGCGAAAGCAUUUGCCAAA
rnacentral:rRNA from 2 species